GCACUACUCUCUUGACAGAACCGUUCAGACUCAGUUGACGUUUAACAUAGGUCUUUAGAAACCAUUUAUUAAUCAUUAGUAAAGUGUUUUGCAGUGCUUGAUCUAAAGCGGGCACUAUUUAUACUUUAUAAACAUUUAUAAAUGGCCCGUUACUGAGGGACAUACUAUAGAAACCAUUUACUAAUCAUUCGUAAAGUGUUUUGCAGUGCUUGAUCUAAAGCGGGCACUAUCUAUACUUUAUAAACAUUUCUAAAUGGCCCGUUACUUAGUAGACACUCCUGCAGCAAAGUCACCAAAAAUGACCUCAGACGUUAGGAUGUUUAACAUAUCAAUGGAAAAAACACACAACACAGCGUCGAGGAAAUAAAGUGAAAUAUUUAUUGGAAAAAAUACAAAAGUACAAUUUCAAAAAGGACACAGGGGCAUAUACAGUGCCUGGCGAAAGUCUACACACAGUUUCAACAAAUACACACAAGGUCUUGUACACACACUCUGUAAAAAAACCUUCUGUAAUGCUGAAAACAUCCAGGUUGGGUUAAAACUGUAUCUUGCCAUGGAACCGCAGGGAAUACUCAUGCCGAAAGUCUUUCAAGGCACAGCUGCAAGGCACAGCUGCAUUACUGGUGACAGUGAAGGCACAUUUCACAUUUCAAUCUCUUCAUUAUCAACUCGACUGAGCAAAAGCAAGAGAAAAGGGCUGAAAGCUAAACAGCAACACAUCUGUUGGUGAUGCACAUCUGCAGUGGGCCCCCGCGGGGUACCGGGCCACGGCCCUCACAGAUGCAGGGUUCACAUGUCUGCCACUCAUCACGCCGUCGGGGAGGAUUCUGGUGCAUUGACAGCGGAAGAAGAUGGGACCUACAAGCCAAAAGAAGUAAACAAGACAACAGGGCCAAAAGGAGUAAACAAGACAACAGGGCCAAAAGGAGUAAACAAGACAACAGGGCCAAAAGGAGUAAACAACACAACAGGGAGAAUAAAUGAGUAAACAACACAACAGGGAGUAUAAAUGAGUAAACAACACAACAGGGAGAAGAAUUAAGCAGGUAUAGAAAUGAUGGGGAUGGCCACUGAACGUCUGAAAUCAACUAACAGGAGACAAUUGCAACAUGCACACUUGCAUUGGCAAUUAACAGUAGUGACUGACACAAAACUGUAAACAUGACACACACACACACACUCACACACAGACACAUGUGCACACACAGAGAGACAGACACAUAUACACAGAUAUCAUAGCAAUACUGAUAAGCACACUGUAAAAAAACUGCCAACGUUUUUACGGGAAAAAACUGGCAGCU
rnacentral:lncRNA from 1 species